GGAGGCAGCAGUGGGGAAUAUUGCACAAUGGGCGCAAGCCUGAUGCAGCGACGCCGCGUGGGGGAUGAAGGCCUUCGGGUUGUAAACCCCUUUCAGCAGGGAAGAAGCGAGAGUGACGGUACCUGCAGAAGAAGCGCCGGCUAACUACGUGCCAGCAGCCGCGGUAAUACGUAGGGCGCAAGCGUUGUCCGGAAUUAUUGGGCGUAAAGAGCUCGUAGGCGGUUUGUCGCGUYUGCUGUGAAAUCCCGAGGCUCAACCUCGGGCCUGCAGUGGGUACGGGCAGACUAGAGUGUGGUAGGGGAGACUGGAAUUCCUGGUGUAGCGGUGGAAUGCGCAGAUAUCAGGAGGAACACCGAUGGCGAAGGCAGGUCUYUGGGCCACAACUGACGCUGAGGAGCGAAAGCGUGGGGAGCGAACAGGAUUAGAUACCCUGGUAGUCCACGCCGUAAACGGUGGGCACUAGAUGUGGGGCUCUUUCCAUGAGUUCCGCGUCGCAGCUAACGCAUUAAGUGCCCCGCCUGGGGAGUACGGCCGCAAGGCUAAAACUCAAAGGAAUUGACGGGGGCCCGCACAAGCGGCGGAGCAUGCGG
rnacentral:rRNA from 1 species